rnacentral:rRNA from 1 species
GGAGUUGUAAUUUGAAGUGGCUCUUUAGGGAGUUUUGUUUUUGGCUGCGGAAGUGCCUUGGAACAGAACCGCCGUGGAGGGUGAGAGCCCCGUAUCGUGGCCAGCAAGAUUUUCGUAUAAGGGCUAGCGAAGAGUCGAGUUGUUUGGGAAUGCAGCUCUAAGUGGGUGGUAUAUUCCAUCUAAGGCUAAAUAUGGGCGAGAGACCGAUAGCAAACAAGUACAGUGAUGGAAAGAUGAAAAGAACUUUGAAAAGAGAGUGAAAAAGUACGUGAAAUUGUUGAAAGGGAAGGGUAUUUGAUCCGACAUGGUAUUUAGAUGUCGCUUGCCCCCGUGGCGGGCGCUCCAUCUUUUUACUGGGCCAGCAUCGGUGCUGGGCGGGACAGGAGGUUUCUGUGAAUGUAGCCCUUCGGGGAACUUAUAGAACAGGAUUCAUACGUCUCUCCCCGGUACCGAGGACUGCGGGAAACCAAGGAUGCUGGCAUAACGAGCAA